GUCCGGCUAGCUCAGUAGAGCAUAAUAUUCUUAAUCUCAGGGUCGUGGGUUCGUGCCCCACGUUGGGCG
rnacentral:tRNA from 1 species